CGCUUCUCCCGUUGAGAGGAAAAAACGGGAGAAGCCCCGGCACCCA
rnacentral:tRNA from 1 species